rnacentral:rRNA from 1 species
UACGUAGGUGGCGAGCGUUGUCCGGAUUUACUGGGCGUAAAGGGAGCGUAGGCGGACUUUUAAGUGAGAUGUGAAAUACCCGGGCUCAACUUGGGUGCUGCAUUUCAAACUGGAAGUCUAGAGUGCAGGAGAGGAGAAUGGAAUUCCUAGUGUAGCGGUGAAAUGCGUAGAGAUUAGGAAGAACACCAGUGGCGAAGGCGAUUCUCUGGACUGUAAAUGACGCUGAGGCUCGAAAGCGUGGGGAGCAAACAGGAUUAGAUACA